rnacentral:rRNA from 1 species
UCCAGACUCCUACGGGAGGCAGCAGUGGGGGAUAUUGCACAAUGGGGGGAACCCUGAUGCAGCGACGCCGCGUGGGUGAAGGAGUGCUUCGGCAUGUAAAGCCCUAUCGGCAGGGAAGAAGCAAGACGGUACCUGACUAAGAAGCCCCGGCUAACUACGUGCCAGCAGCCGCGGUAAUACGUAGGGGGCGAGCGUUAUCCGGAUUCACUGGGUGUAAAGGGGGCGUAGACGGCCAUGCAAGCCAGGGGUGAAAGCCCGGGGGCCAACCCCGGGACUGCCCUUGGAACCGCAUGGCUGGAGUGCGGGAGGGGCAGGCGGAAUUCCUGGUGUAGCGGUGAAAUGCGUAGAUAUACGGAGGAACACCAGUGGCGAAGGCGGCCUGCUGGACAAUAACUGACGCUGAGGCGCGAAAGCGUGGGGAGCAAACAGGAUUAGAUACCCUCGUAU